rnacentral:tRNA from 1 species
GUCAAAAUAGCUUACUUAAGGGAGCAUUAGACUGAAAAUCUAAAGGUACCUGAUUGACUCUUGGUUUUUGGCA